GAUGAACGCUAGCGGCAGGCCUAAUACAUGCAAGUCGAACGGUGUCUUCGGACAUAGUGGCGCACGGGUGCGUAACACGUAUGCAACCUACCUUACAUUGGGGGAUAGCCUUUCGAAAGGGAGAUUAAUACCGCAUAAGACAGUAGCUGGGCAUCCAGCAGCUGUUAAAGAUUUAUCGAUGUAAGGUGGGCAUGCGUCCAAUUAGCUAGUUGGUGAGGUAACGGCUCACCAAGGCAAUGAUUGGUAGGGGAACUGAGAGGUCAAUCCCCCACACUGGCACUGAGAUACGGGCCAGACUCCUACGGGAGGCAGCAGUAGGGAAUAUUGGGCAAUGGACGCAAGUCUGACCCAGCCAUGCCGCGUGCAGGAUGAAGGCGUUAUGCGUUGUAAACUGCUUUUAUACAGGAAGAAACGACUCUUGCGAGAGGCAUUGACGGUACUGUAUGAAUAAGCACCGGCCAACUCCGUGCCAGCCGCCGCCGUAAUAC
rnacentral:rRNA from 1 species